GGGAGGCACCAUGGAUGGCAAGUAAUGAUUGAUCCACAUAGAAACUGUGCUAAGGUAUUGAAGAUGGGUCUUCCAUGGUAAGGAGACAAUGUUUACAUAAUAUCGUGGUUGCUUUGAGGGAUAGGGCAAGCAGGAUGAGAGGGCUUAUUUUGGGCAUCAGUAGACUGUGCUUUGAGUUUGGAUGGAAGCAAGUAGUUCUAUGUGUCUACAACACAAAGGAGAGAUGCUAACGAUGGGGACAAGUUUGGGAGAAUGUUGGGAGGACACUGAAGGGUGAAUGCCAAUGCAUCGAUAAACAUAACCAGAUACAACUUUGGAAGGAGAGGAUUCAUUUCAUCUUACACUUCCACAUCAUACUCCUUCCUUGAGGGAAGUCAGGGCUAGAACUCAAGGCAGAAACUGAAGCAACAAGCAUGGAGGGCUGCUGCUAUCACGCUCUCCAUGGCUGGAUUAACUCACUCUCUUACACAACCCAGGACCACCACCCUAGGAGCAGCACCACCUAUGGUGAGUUAAGCUUCCGAUAUCAAUUAUUAAUCAGAAAAACUUCUCACGGACUUGCCUCUAGGCUGGUCUGAAGGAGGCAGUUUCCCAACUGAGGGUCUCUCUUCCCAGGUGACUCGAGCUUGUGUCAAGUUGACAAAAAAUGAAGCAGCUCAAGAAGCAAAGGCGUAAAUCAUCAAAAUCUUCGACAUCAUAAUUCUAGAGCUUGGAACUGAUCCACAAGAUGACAGAAAGGCUUUCCCAGGCCUUGCCUACAAUAUUGAAGUUCCUGUUUGCUUUGUGUCUCUCCUCUGGCCCUGAUGAUGAGACUUCUCUUUUCAUUCCGAGAAUCUUCUACAACAUGACCCAAACACCACAGGACUUUGUUGGUGUUUGGUACAGGGAGAUGGGUGUGACUACUCUUAACCACGGUGGUUUAGAACAGUACCCAUAAAGGCUUUUG
rnacentral:lncRNA from 1 species